rnacentral:tRNA from 1 species
GAGCCUGUAGCUCAGCCAGGUUAGAGCGCCUGUCUUAUAAGCAGGAGGUCCCAAGUUCAAAUCUUGGCAGGCUCA